rnacentral:rRNA from 1 species
AGAGUUUGAUCCUGGCUCAGGAUGAACGCUGGCGGUCUGCUUGACACAUGCAAGUCGAACGCAACCUUCGGGUUGAGUGGCGGACGGGUGAGUAACGCGUGAGAAUCUGCCUUAGGGUCGGGGACAACCACUGGAAACGGUGGCUAAUACCGGAUAAGCCGAUUGGUGAAAGAUUUAUUGCCCGAAGAGGAGCUCGCGUCUGAUUAGCUAGUUGGUGAGGUAAGAGCUCACCAAGGCAGCGAUCAGUAGCUGGUCUGAGAGGACGAUCAGCCACACUGGGACUGAGACACGGCCCAGACUCCUACGGGAGGCAGCAGUGGGGAAUUUUCCGCAAUGGGCGAAAGCCUGACGGAGCAAGACCGCGUGAGGGAGGAAGGCUCUUGGGUUGUAAACCUCUUUUCUCAGGGACGAAGCUCUGACGGUACCUGAGGAAUCAGCCUCGGCUAACUCCGUGCCAGCAGCCGCGGUAAUACGGAGGAGGCAAGCGUUAUCCGGAAUUAUUGGGCGUAAAGCGUCCGCAGGUGGCGAUUCAAGUCUGCUGUCAAAGCACGGGGCUUAACUCCGUUAAGGCAGUGGAAACUGAAUAGCUA